ensembl:lncRNA novel transcript
GCUGCUGAAGAAGGAGAGUCGCAUUCAGCCAGGGAUCACUGAGCAUUCAAAAGUCCAUCUGAGACCUGCUUUCAUUGCACUGCCUCGUGAGGAGCUGUAGGAGAAGAUAUCAUAACUAUUCCCCACUUCUAAUUGUUAGAAGCAACAGCUGUCUAUCAAGAACAAUCUGAGGAUUGUGCACAAAUUGAUUUGGUUCUAUCAAGUGCUGGCUUUCGAUUCCAGUCUGACUUCACUACCACAGGAGCUUCUUGCUCAGGCUUCUGUUCCGGCUCCAUUCUCUCCCUGCCAUUAUAAUGCCAUCCACUGCAGCACCAUCUCUUCAAUCAGUGAGUUCAUCCUUUCCUCCCUCACUUCUAUUUUCUUGAGAGGAAAUAAGCAUUUUUUUUUCUUUUUUUAGGCAGAGUCUCGCUCUGUUGCUCAGGCUGGAGUGCAGUGGUGUGAUCUCAGCUCACUGCAACCUCUACCUCCCAGAUUCAAGCGAUUUUCCUGCCUUAGCCUCCCAAGUAGCUGGGACUGCGGGCAUGCACCGCUAUGACUGGCUAAUUUUUGUAUUUUCAGUAGAGAUGGAGUUUCACCAUGCUGGCCAGGCUGGUCUCGAACUCCUGACCUCAGAUGAUUCACCCGCCUUGGCAUCCCAAAGUGCUGGGAUUACAGGUGUGAGCCACUGUACCUGGCUGGAAAUAAGCAUUUAAUACUUAUGUGUGAUGCCCAGCAGAUGCCAACAGUAUUCAUGGAGAGUCCCAUUCCCAAGCUCUACAAAGUAGGGGUGAGGUAGAGCUAACCAUCCUGUUUCACAGAGAAGCAGAGGGAUUCACAGCUGUUCUCUGCCAGCCCUCAUGUCUCACGAUUCUGUGAAGUGACAGUUUCCAUGGGCUCAGAGUAGUUGUUGCGAAGCUUUCUAGAGUCCUCUGACCCUGGAAGCUGCUAAUUAAAGUGCCACCAAGAUGCUUCCAGCGACUCUGAGCUAGUUACACGUACAUAUUAAAGAGCUGACCUUCCCCCUUCUUGUCUGUCGUACCCCACUGUGAGUGCUGUGGGUGGUCAGCAAAUAAUAACAGUUAAUAACUUUCUCUUAUUCUUUCAAAGCUCUUCAGAAAUGCAAAUUGCUGCCUUCAGAAGGAAGCACACGGGCCUAUGAAUUUUAUAUCAGCAGGGAUUACCAAUGAGUCAUGCUUGAUGUUGUAAAAACUAUUCAGGUAGGCAGGCAGGUGCUGCAAUAAGAGAAUAGCAUCCCUUUCCUGAAUGUUCAGUUAUUGAAGUGCACGCUCGCAUGGGUAUACACACAACCACACAUGCCCAACUCACAAAAAUAGACAAUUAUAUAAAAUAUAUGCCAAAAUCUCCACAGAAAGGAAAGCUAAACUCUUUAAAACCAAAUGCUUAUCACGCUGCCGAAGAGAAGUAAAUCUGUAAGGUGGUAAGCAGUGUUAAUAUGUGGGCGAGUGCCAGAACACAUGCAGAUGUGUGUUAUUUAUGCCUUUAAUUGUUAUUUCCAGUAGGUAUCUGGCUGUCAGUGCACAUGAGUUAAGUACCGUAAAAUAACAGAUGUCACACAUCUCACAAGAACAACAGGGAGUCAAUAUACGCGGCAGAGUAAAUCUGAUUACCUUAGAUAGUAAGGAAAAGAGAAAGAAUGCAAAACCAGAUGAGCCUAUGGCUGUAAUUUAAAAAACAAAUUAUUCCAUUUGAAUAUGUUCUAUAGUAAUUAUGCAUUUAUACUGAGUACACUAAGAGAAAAGCCAUCUUGGAAGAACAGAGCCGAUUUGGGUAAUUGCAGUGAAUUCUUAUAAUUUUAUGUUGUCUUGGCAUCCAUUUUGAAUACAAAUUUAAGUUUGUUAUACCAGAAGCGGAGCUCGAUCA